rnacentral:rRNA from 1 species
GUCGAGCGAAUGGAAGGGAGCUUGCUCCCUGAAGUUAGCGGCGGACGGGUGAGUAACACGUGGGCAACCUGCCCUGUAGACUGGGAUAACAUCGAGAAAUCGGUGCUAAUACCGGAUAAUCGAAGAAACCGCAUGGUUUCUUCAUAAAAGAUGGCUCCGGCUAUCACUACAGGAUGGGCCCGCGGUGCAUUAGCUAGUUGGUGAGGUAGAGGCUCACCAAGGCAACGAUGCAUAGCCGACCUGAGAGGGUGAUCGGCCACACUGGGACUGAGACACGGCCCAGACUCCUACGGGAGGCAGCAGUAGGGAAUCUUCCGCAAUGGACGAAAGUCUGACGGAGCAACGCCGCGUGAGUGAUGAAGGUUUUCGGAUCGUAAAGCUCUGUUGUUAGGGAAGAACAAGUACCGUUCGAAUAGGGCGGUACCUUGACGGUACCUAACCAGAAAGCCACGGCUAACUACGUGCCAGCAGCCGCGGUAAUACGUAGGUGGCAAGCGUUGUCCGGAAUUAUUGGGCGUAAAGCGCGCGCAGGCGGUCUUUUAAGUCUGAUGUGAAAUAUCGGGGCUCAACCCCGAGGGGUCAUU